ACGGAAGGCAGCAGUGGGGAAUAUUGGGCAAUGGGCGAAAGCCUGACCCAGCGACGCCGCGUGAGCGAUGAAGGUCUUCGGAUUGUAAAGCUCUGUUGAUAGGGACGAACAAAUGACGGUACCUAUCGAGGAAGCCACGGCUAACUACGUGCCAGCAGCCGCGGUAAUACGUAGGUGGCAAGCGUUAUCCGGAUUUACUGGGUGUAAAGGGUGUGUAGGCGGGGGAGCAAGUCAGAUGUGAAAUCCCGGGGCUCAACCCCGGAACUGCAUUUGAAACUGUAGCCCUUGAGUAUCGGAGAGGCAAGCGGAAUUCCUAGUGUAGCGGUGAAAUGCGUAGAUAUUAGGAGGAACACCAGUGGCGAAGGCGGCUUGCUGGACGACAACUGACGCUGAGGCGCGAAAGCGUGGGGAGCAAACAGGAUUAGAUACCCUGGUA
rnacentral:rRNA from 1 species